rnacentral:rRNA from 1 species
UUACACAUGCAAGUCGAACGGCAGCACGGGAGCAAUCCUGGUGGCGAGUGGCGAAACGGGUGAGUAAUAUAUCGGAACGUGCCCAGUCGUGGGGGAUAACGUAGCGAAAGCUACGCUAAUACCGCAUACGAUCUAUGGAUGAAANCGGGGGAUCGCAAGACCUCGCGCGAUUGGAGCGGCCGAUAUCAGAUUAGGUAGUUGGUGAGGUAAAGGCUCACCAAGCCGACGAUCUGUAGCUGGUCUGAGAGGACGACCAGCCACACUGGGACUGAGACACGGCCCAGACUCCUACGGGAGGCAGCAGUGGGGGAAUUUUGGACAAUGGGCGCAAGCCUGAUCCAGCAAUGCCGCGUGCAGGAUGAAGGCCUUCGGGCUGUAAACUGCUUUGUACGGAACGAAACGGUGAGCUCUAAUACAGUUUGCUAAUGACGGUACCGUAAGAAUAAGCACCGGCUAACUACGUG